GACGAACGCUGGCGGCGUGCCUAAUACAUGCAAGUAGAACGCUGAAGGAGGAGCUUGCUUCUCUGGAUGAGUUGCGAACGGGUGAGUAACGCGUAGGUAACCUGCCUGGUAGCGGGGGAUAACUAUUGGAAACGAUAGCUAAUACCGCAUAAUAGUAGAUGUCGCAUGACAUUUGCUUAAAAGGUGCAAUUGCAUCACUACCAGAUGGACCUGCGUUGUAUUAGCUAGUUGGUGAGGUAACGGCUCACCAAGGCAACGAUACAUAGCCGACCUGAGAGGGUGAUCGGCCACACUGGGACUGAGACACGGCCCAGACUCCUACGGGAGGCAGCAGUAGGGAAUCUUCGGCAAUGGACGGAAGUCUGACCGAGCAACGCCGCGUGAGUGAAGAAGGUUUUCGGAUCGUAAAGCUCGGUUGUAAGAGAAGAACGAGUGUGAGAGUGGAAAGUUCACACUGUGACGGUAUCUUACCAGAAAGGGACGGCUAACUACGUG
rnacentral:rRNA from 1 species